rnacentral:snRNA from 1 species
AUGGCUUCUCAGCCUCAUGUGCAGUAUCUGUUCUUAUCAGUUUAAUAUCUGAUACGUCCUCUAUCCCAGGACAUUAUAGUAUUAAGAUAUAAUCUUAAAGGCACAGAUAUUCUUUUAGAAAAUGAAUGUAAACAUUACCCAUUUAAAAGUUUCAGGCUCA